rnacentral:rRNA from 1 species
CAGUAGCCGCGGUAAUACAGAGGGUGCGAGCGUUAAUCGGAUUUACUGGGCGUAAAGCGUGCGUAGGCGGCUUCUUAAGUCGGAUGUGAAAUCCCUGAGCUUAACUUGGGAAUUGCAUUCGAUACUGGUUAGCUAGAGUGUGGGAGAGGAUGGUAGAAUUCCAGGUGUAGCGGUGAAAUGCGUAGAGAUCUGGAGGAAUACCGAUGGCGAAGGCAGCCAUCUGGCCUAACACUGACGCUGAGGUACGAAAGCAUGGGGAGCAAACAGGAUUAGAUACCCGUGAGUCCCUGUCUCUUAUACA